rnacentral:rRNA from 1 species
UACGUAGGGUGCAAGCGUUGUCCGGAAUUAUUGGGCGUAAAGAGCUCGUAGGCGGUUUGUUGCGUCGGCUGUGAAAACCUGAGGCUCAACCUCAGGCCUGCAGUCGAUACGAGCAGACUAGAGUGUUGCAGGGGAGACUGGAAUUCCUGGUGUAGCGGUGAAAUGCGCAGAUAUCAGGAGGAACACCAGUGGCGAAGGCGGUGCUCUGGGCCGGAACUGACGCUGAGGAGCGAAAGCGUGGGGAGCAAACAGG